rnacentral:misc_RNA from 1 species
AAUUAUUUUAUUUUAGUUGCAAGAAUUCAUGCAAAGCAUGGGAGAAUCAAGCAAGAGAAGUUCCAUCCAAUUGAAGAGGCUGAGAAUAAUUAUUUUAUGGAGCUGGUUUCUUACAAAAUAAAUGAUCUAAAUCCAAAUUUAAAGAGUUAACAGUAAAGUUUAGAUUCUUCAAGAAAAAUCUCAAGGAGGAGUGUUAUAGUAUUGAGAUUUUUCUAGAAGAUAUGAAGAUCAUUGUUUUGCAUUUGGCAAUUCUUAAAUUUUGUUGUCAAACUUGUUAGGUGCAAUUGCAUGUCUUUCCUUGAUUUAAGGAGAAUGAUUAGAAAGAAGUUAAAAUUUAUUAUAGUAGUUAUGGACCAUGCUUUUUUUACUACUUU